UAUCUGUCCCCGGGAAAUGCAUAUCCAGCUUAUGGAAAGUAUUAAUAAUGCGCCUUACACCAAACUGGCCCCCUUCCAUAGUGCAUGAUCUAAAAUUAAAUCCAUUUCAAAUAUACAGUAGAUCGAGUCAAGCUAAUAUAAAUGAAACGUGAUUAACGGGCAGUAUGCUGGCCUCCUCCCCAGGCAUGAGGGGGCAGGGCUGAAGCCAUCUUAGGUCCUCUUCUCUGUAGCCCCCCCAACCCCGAUUCCCCGUGGCCUCCAAGCCCUCUCUUUACCCUCACCCCUUCUCCCUCCCAGCCCUAGACCAAUCCUGUAAUUUGUCCAAAGUGUGAAAUCAGGGGCCACUAUUAGAGCAGAGCAGUUGAGCCAGACAGCUUCAGCCCCUCAGGACAGAGUUGAGGCUUAGAGUUUGUUACACACACAUGCGCACACGUGAGCACACACACAUACACACACACAAACACACAAGUACACAUUCACAUACAUACACACACUUGCACAUAUACACACAUACAUACAUACAAAUACACAUACAUAUACACACAUGCAUAUACACAUAAAUAUAUACACACAUACACAUACAUACACACAUAUAUACAGCAUACACAUACACACACGCAUACACGCAUGCACACGCACACGCACCCCAGAGCCUCAGCUUGCUCAUCUGUCCUAUAGACAGACAGCAAGUGCUGCCUGGACAGGGUUGUCUAAGUGCUAAUCGAGAUAAGGGUGCAGGUAAGGUAGCUCUUCGUGUUAGUUACCCUCGGAGGCCAGCACUCAUCCCUUCCCAGCCCCCCAACCAGCCGGUAGAACAAGGGCCAGCCAGAAUUCCUGCCACUGCAGGGAUACACUUGGUGGGCUAUUUUUAGAGCAUUGGCAAGAGUUACUCUGUUACUGACCAAAUGUUCCCACAUUGGGGACAGACGCUGCUAAGAGGGCACUUGUAAGCUGAAUGUGAGGUGGGAGGGGUGUUGGCUUCACAUUGUUCCCCGGAUGUUUAGUUGUUGUUUUGGUUUUUUGCUUCUCUUUUGUUAUUGUUGUUGUUUCUGAGAUAAGGUCCCAGGUAGCCCAGGCUGGCCUCAAACCCAUCAUGUAGUCAAGGCUGACCUUGAACUCCUAAACCUCUUACCUCUACCUCCCAAAUGCUUAGAUAAUUGGUAUGUACCAGCAUACCCAGCUAGGAGUGUUCUUGAGGCACACACAUUCAAGCACAGUGCGUGCGGCCUGAAGAGAGGGAAGAGGAAAAGUCCUGUGGGGACAGGGUUCCUGCCCAGCCUUCGUCCCCUCCUCAGCCUGGCAGGAUCUUGCUCUCAGGCUGCGUGUGGUCAUAGAAGCAACAGCAAUGUCACCCUUGGAGAGCCCUCCACGCUCCCCGUCUCAGGAGACACAGUCCAAUCUCUCACCCAGAACUCAAGGGAGGAAGACCCAAAAAAAUCUGCAAAAGACAAGUUAGAAGUGAGGGAGGAGAGAUAAUUCUUCAAUGUGGGACACAUCUGGGAGCCAAGGAGGCAGAGGCUGAGGGGAGAAACGCGAAAUUAUAUAUGGUCAUAAAAAAUACAAAACAGAAAAUCCUCCUCAAACUCUCCUCUUUAGCCCGUUCCGUUCCAAACUUGCCGUCUACAUCCCCCAGCAUGCCCUGGGGCAGUUGCAAGGACUUGCUACCCGUGAGCCUUUGGGGCAGAGGUUGCAGGACAAAAGCUGAGCGACCUCUGCUCAGGUGCUGCCAUCGCAUAGGCCCUGCCUUGAGCAGGUUGGCGUCUCUGGAGGGACGGAAGAGUCAGAGCCUAGCUGGGAUCUGAAGCUGCAGGGCGUGUGAGUUAGUGUUCGCACAGUUGCUGUAAGGACUGGGGAAGGAGAAAGAAGGGAGCCGAAGGGAGAGGGGAGAAGAAAAGGAAAACACCAGGACUAGACAGAGGGGGGGAAAGAGGAAGGAGAAAGGAGAGAGAGUACAGAUAGGAGACAGAGGGGGACAGAUAGAAGAGAGAAGGUGGAAGAAGAUGGGCCCAGAGGGGAGAGGAAGGGAGGGGAGGCGGAGUGGGGGCGCCGGUCUGGAGUCCCAGCUCCUUUCUCUGUCAUUAAGGGUAUUGAUGUGCUCAGGCGUCAACGAGUCUUUGUACAAGUGAAAGGAAACCUGAUGCUGCUGGUGACCCUGAACCCACGCCCUCCGUGUCUCCCUCCCCACCCCUCCCCUGGAGCAGAGUAAGAAGUGGGAGCCUUGAGAGCUGAGAUGGCUCAGACUCCCGCAAUCCCGGGUUGACCCCAGAGGGUGGCUAGGCAGGAACCCCAUAGUCUGGAUUUGUGCCCCAUCCAGGUCUCAUCAAAACCCUCCUGACUUCCUGGGUGCAUGAGGGUCAGAGGAGCUGAUUUCUAUGAGAUCCUAGGAGGCCUUGGGUGAGGCAGGGAGAAAUGCCAGAGGUUGGAAUGUUCAAAGUCAGGUUCAUCCUUGCCAUCCGAGUCUUGGCACACACGUCACCUCUCAGAAGCUCUCCCCAUCCCAUUAUGCCCGUGGCGUUCGCUUAUACAGUGCACGCUUGCCUGGGACCAUCUGGAUUAUCUGCUUGUUUUUAAAUGUGUCUCCCUGACCACUUGAGAUGAACAGGGACCAGGCCUACCUUAUUCACCAUCGCGUCCCCUACACCUCGCCCGCCCCGGCCAGAUGUUCCCUAGCGCUGGCUGACUUGAUGGAAGGAAAAGAGGAUGCCUGGACGUACAGACGGAUGCUGCAGGCUUUGCCCUCACCCUGAACCAGCCCCUCCUCGCCCCCAUCCGGGACCGCUCCCCGCCCGCGCCCGCGCCCCCGCCGCCGCCUGAGGCUGCGCCCCCCGCCUCCCCGCAGCCGUCAUUCGCGAAGCUGCCACAAUAUUGUGAAGGCUCCGCGCUCCCGCUCCUCGGUGCAGCCCGCAGCCCGCGCGGGGGAAGGCGAGCGACGCGGGCUGCCGAUGAAUAAUGCAUGACUAAGGCGCCCCCUACCGGCGGCCGCGGGCAGCGCGCAACCGGGCCCAGAAGGCCCCCACGCAGCAGGUCUUGCAGCCCUGCAGCUUCGCGCCCCAUACCCACCUUCCUCCGUCCAGAAACCCCAAGGCUGAGCAAGAAGCUUGGCUGCUAGAGUCGGGGAGCAUGCCAAGCAUGAGAUCCUGUGCGCGGUGGGGUGGAAUGGGGAAGCCUUGCACCUCCAGGGCCUCUGAACCUGGGUUUGGGCUAAGCCUGCAGUGCAGCCUCCAAGCCUGGACAACGCAGGGUCUUAAUUCAAAGGAGCGCAAGCGGUUUCACAAGUACUCCAAAUUGCUGUGGAAUAUUUAUAAGACCGAGAUAUGGGGGAGGGGUGGCGCAAAGUACAAUGACAUAUAGGCAUGGAAAUGUCACAAUGAAAUCCGACCCUUUGAAGAGUAAAAAAUAUAGUUUUCUUUUUUAAGUUAAAAAGAUGCAGCUGGGUGUGCACUUGGAGGCAGAGGCAGGAGGAUCUCCAUGAAUUCGAGGCCCACCUGGUCUACAUAGUUGAAACCCUACCUCUCCCUGCAAAAGGGGAGGAGGGAAGAUGUGCUGGAGAGAUAGGUGGCUCACGGGUUAAGAACGCUGGCUGCUCUUACAGAAGACCUGCGUUAGACUUGCAGCAUCCACAGGGUAGCUCAUAACCAUUUAUAACUCCAGUUUCAGAAGAUCCUACACCCUCUUCUGGCCUCCUCAGGCAUCAGGCAUCCACGUGAGGGGUACACAAAGACAUGCAGGCAAAGCACUCAUAUACAUACAUUAAAAAUAAACAAAUCUUUACAAAACGAGCAAAAA